UGGGGAAUUUUGGACAAUGGGCGCAAGCCUGAUCCAGCAAUGCCGCGUGCAGGAUGAAGGCCUUCGGGUUGUAAACUGCUUUUGUACGGAACGAAAAGGCUCUGGUUAAUACCUGGAGCAUAUGACGGUACCGUAAGAAUAAGCACCGGCUAACUACGUGCCAGCAGCCGCGGUAAUACGUAGGGUGCGAGCGUUAAUCGGAAUUACUGGGCGUAAAGCGUGCGCAGGCGGUUUUGUAAGACAGAGGUGAAAUCCCCGGGCUCAACCUGGGAACUGCCUUUGUGACUGCAAGGCUGGAGUGCGGCAGAGGGGGAUGGAAUUCCGCGUGUAGCAGUGAAAUGCGUAGAUAUGCGGAGGAGCACCGAUGGCGAAGGCAAUCCCCUGGGCCUGCACUGACGCUCAUGCACGAAGGCGU
rnacentral:rRNA from 1 species